UACGAGGGGGGCAAGCGUUGUUCGGAUUUAUUGGGCGUAAAGGGUGCGUAGGCGGUUUGGCAAGUCUGAUGUGAAAUCUAUGGGCUCAACCCAUAGUCUGCAUCAGAAACUGCCGGGCUUGAGUAUGGGAGAGGUGAGUGGAAUUUCCGGUGUAGCGGUGAAAUGCGUAGAUAUCGGAAGGAACACCUGUGGCGAAAGCGGCUC
rnacentral:rRNA from 1 species